GGGGCGGUAGCUCAGCUGGGAGAGCGUCGCGUUCGCAAUGCGAAGGUCCGGGGUUCGAUCCCCCGCCGCUCCACCA
rnacentral:tRNA from 5 species